UAGCUUGCUAUGAUAAAAAUUAGUGGCAGACGGGUGAGUAAUGCAUAGGAAUCUACCUAGUAGUAUGGGAUAGCCACUAGAAAUGGUGGGUAAUACUGUAUAAUCCCUGCGGGGGAAAGAUUUAUCGCUAUUAGAUGAGCCUAUGUUAGAUUAGCUAGUUGGUAGGGUAAAGGCCUACCAAGGCAGUGAUCUAUAGCUGGUCUGAGAGGAUGAUCAGCCACACUGGAACUGAGAUACGGUCCAGACUCCUACGGGAGGCAGCAGUGGGGAAUAUUGGACAAUGGGCGCAAGCCUGAUCCAGCUAUGCCGCGUGAGUGAGGAAGGCCUUAGGGUUGUAAAACUCUUUCAGUGGGGAAGAUAAUGACGGUACCCACAGAAGAAGUCCCGGCAAACUCCGUGCCAGCAGCCGCGGUAAUACGGAGGGGGCAAGCGUUGUUCGGAAUUAUUGGGCGUAAAGGGCAUGUAGGCGGUUCGGUAAGUUAAAGGUGAAAUGCCAGGGCUUAACCCUGGAGCUGCUUUUAAUACUGCCAGACUCGAGUCCGGGAGAGGA
rnacentral:rRNA from 1 species